UACGAAGGGGGCUAGCGUUGUUCGGCAUUACUGGGCGUAAGGCGCACGUUGGCGGAUUCUUAAGUCUGGGGUGAAAGCCCGGAGCUCAACUCCGGAACUGCCUUGGAUACUGGGAGUCUCGAGGAUGGAAGAGGUCAGUGGAAUGCCGAGUGUAGAGGUGAAAUUCGUAGAUAUUCGGCGGAACACCAGUGGCGAAGGCGACUGGCUGGUCCAUUUCUGACGCUGAGGUGCGAAAGUGUGGGGAGCAAACAGG
rnacentral:rRNA from 1 species